rnacentral:rRNA from 1 species
UACAGAGGGGGCAAGCGUUAUUCGGAAUUAUUGGGCGUAAAGGGCGCGUAGGCGGCAUGGCAAGUGGAUGGUGAAAUCCCUCGGCUUAACCGAGGAGCUGCCGUCCAAACUGCUUCGCUUGAGACCGGGAGAGGUGAGUGGAAUUCCCAGUGUAGCGGUGAAAUGCGUAGAUAUUGGGAGGAACACCAGUGGCGAAGGCGGCUCACUGGACCGGUACUGACGCUGAAGCGCGAAAGCGUGGGGAGCAAACGGG